CGUAAUUCUCAAGCUCAUCCUCCAGCCUCGACCUCCCGGUACAACUUCCCUCCUCGCACCCUGUUAUUGCUACCCUCGACUCAAGGGUAGAGAAUAUUCACGCCUCGGGAUAUCGUUCGUUGAGUAUCAACCCCCUCGAAGACUAGACUCGAGGAGCUCAGAGACAGCGAGACCGAAGAGGGUAGAAAAAUAAGGCGUAAGGGGGAUCGAAAGCCUAAAAAUUUCAAGAGACACGAAAGAGUCGUAUAGGCCAAAGUUUUGCAGCCUCGCAGUUAGCGGAUGACGCGCAGUCUUUUUCCUAAGGUCCUACUAUGCAGUAUACGCACGUAACACGUUCCUAGUGCUGGUACCAACCUAACCAACCGAAGGAACCAGGGUACAGGAUGAAACCAAGUACCGUAGCUAUAUUUCUAGGAUACGAUAUGCUAUGCUCAGAGGACAGAUUGUGAGGUUAGGAGAUGGAAUUAUCGUGGGCUAGAUGGAAGAUGGAAAAGGAUACCGUAAGAUGCUCACCCAAGAAAAUUCAAC